UGGGAGGACGCCCUUCGGGGUGUAAACCACUGUUGCCCGGGACGAACAUCCACUUUCGAGUGGACUGACGGUACCGGGUGAGGAAGCACCGGCUAAACUCCGUGC
rnacentral:rRNA from 1 species